rnacentral:rRNA from 1 species
UACGUAGGGUGCAAGCGUUUGUCCGGAAUUAUUGGGCGUAAAGAGCUCGUAGGCGGUUUGUCGCGUCUGCUGUGAAAACCCGAGGCUCAACCUCGGGCCUGCAGUGGGUACGGGCAGACUAGAGUGCGGUAGGGGAGAUUGGAAUUCCUGGUGUAGCGGUGGAAUGCGCAGAUAUCAGGAGGAACACCGGUGGCGAAGGCGGGUCUCUGGGCCGUAACUGACGCUGAGGAGCGAAAGCGUGGGGAGCGAACAGG